GAUGAACGCUGGCGGCGUGCCUAAUACAUGCAAGUCGAGCGAACAGACGAGGAUCUUGCUCCUCUGACGUUAGCGGCGGACGGGUGAGUAACACGUGGAUAACCUACCUAUAUUUCUUUGAUAACUUCGUGAAACCGGUGCUUAUACCGGAUAAUAUAUUGCACCGCAUGGUUCAAUAGUUAAAUACGGUUUUUCUGUCUCUUAUAGAUUGAUCCCGGCCGCAUUCGCUAGUUGGUAAGGUAACGGCUUACCAAGGCAACGAUGCGUAGCCGACCUGAGAGGGUGAUCGGCGACACGGGAAGAGAGACACGGAACAGAAGCCUACGGGAGGCAGCAGUAGGGAAUAUUGCGAAAUGGGCGAAAGCAUGACGGAGCAACGCCGCGUGAGUGAUGAAGGACUUCGGAUCGUAAAACUCUGUUAUUAGGGAAGAACAAAUGUGUAAGUAACUAUGCACGUAUUGACGGUACCUAAUCAGAAAGCAACGGCUAACUACGUG
rnacentral:rRNA from 1 species